rnacentral:rRNA from 1 species
UAAGGAAUAUUGGUCAAUGGGCGAGAGCCUGAACCAGCCAUGCCGCGUGCAGGAAGACGGCCCUCUGGGUUGUAAACUGCUUUUAUUCGGGAAUAAACCUACUUACGUGUAGAGAGCUGAAGGUACCGAAUGAAUAAGCACCGGCUAACUUCGUGC